UACGUAGGGGGCAAGCGUUGUCCGGAAUCAUUGGGCGUAAAGCGCGUGUAGGCGGCUUGGUAAGUCUGCUCUGAAAGCCCGGGGCUCAACCCCGGGAGGCGGGUGGAUACUGUCAAGCUCGAGUCCGGAAGAGGAGUGUGGAAUUCCUGGUGUGAGCGGUGAAAUGCGCAGAUAUCAGGAAGAACACCCGUGGCGAAGGCGGCUCUCUGGGACGGUACUGACGCUGAGACGCGAAAGCGUGGGGAGCGAACAGG
rnacentral:rRNA from 1 species